UACGUAGGGUGCGAGCGUUAAUCGGAAUUACUGGGAGUAAAGCGUGCGCAGGCGGUCUGUUAAGACCGAUGUGAAAUCCCCGGGCUUAACCUGGGAACUGCAUUGGUGACUGGCAGGCUUUGAGUGUGGCAGAGGGAGGUAGAAUUCCACGUGUAGCAGUGAAAUGCGUAGAGAUGUGGAGGAAUACCGAUGGCGAAGGCAGCCUCCUGGGCCAACACUGACGCUCAUGCACGAAAGCGUGGGGAGCAAACAGG
rnacentral:rRNA from 1 species